rnacentral:rRNA from 1 species
AGGCUUUGAUCCUGGCUCAGGACGAACGCUGGCGGCGUGCUUAACACAUGCAAGUCGAGCGAAGUGAUUAAAAUGGAAUUUUUCGGAAUGAAGUUUUAAUUAUCUUAGCGGCAAACGGGUGAGUAACGCGUGAGAAACCUGCCUUUCACAAAGGGAUAGCCUCGGGAAACUGGGAUUAAUACCUUAUGACACUAAGAAGACACAUGUUUUCCUAGUUAAAGCGUAAAGCGGUGAAAGAUGGUCUCGCGUCCCAUUAGCUAGUUGGUGAGGUAACUGCUCACCAAGGCGACGAUGGGUAGCCGGCCUGAGAGGGUGAACGGCCACACUGGAACUGAGACACGGUCCAGACUCCUACGGGAGGCAGCAGUGGGGAAUAUUGCACAAUGGAGGAAACUCUGAUGCAGCGACGCCGCGUGAACGAUGAAGGCCUUCGGGUUGUAAAGUUCUGUCCUAGGGGACGAUAAUGACGGUACCCUAGGAGGAAGCCCCGGCGUAA